CUCAGCGCCUCCUCCAUUCACCCGUACACUCUCAAUCAGGAAUUUAGGAGAAAACUAGAGGAAAAAAAUAAUAAUAAAGCCUUAGGAAGAGAAGUAGAGGUUGAUUUGGUGGAUUAUCAUUAUCAAGUGUAGAACCCUGUCAGAGAAAAGGCGAUACUUAAUAAUUUUAAGAACAACGCUCAGAAAGAUGACAUCCCCAAUUUGCUUUCUCACCCGGAAGAGUUUGCGGAGGAAUAAAGGGAGCUUUUCUUUUAAUUUCUAGGAUGGGUAGUUGUGGUCAGCUUUAGGGACCUUAUUUCUGUCAGUCUUUAGUUCAUACCAAUUAUUAUUUCUCUAUUUGGUACGGUGCCUUUGAAAUCCUAGUACUUGAGUACUGAAACAUUUGACUGAGAGGUUGGAUAAUUUGUAAUUAACCAUGAAUUGUUUGUUGAGUUUAAAUGUGUGAUUUGGUAGGUUGCUUGUGCGAUAAA